rnacentral:rRNA from 1 species
UACGGAGGGUGCUAGCGUUGUUCGGAAUCACUGGGCGUAAAGGGCGUGUAGGCGGUCUGUUAAGUCUGAUGUGAAAUCCCCUCGCUCAACGAGGGAACUGCGUCGGAUACUGGCAGACUUGAGUACCGGAGAGGAAGGUGGAGUUCCCGGUGUAGCGGUGAAAUGCGUAGAUAUGUGGAGGAACACCGAUGGCGAAGGCAGCCCCCUGGGUUAACACUGACGCUCAUGCACGAAAGCGUGGGGAGCAAACAGG